GGGUACUGAUAUCCUUUAAAAUAACAGUAAGAGCGAAUCUCCCCUCCUGUCUUCUUGCGAGUACCGGCAGACCGGAGGAAAAUGGCGGGUCGUCAAAAGUCACCUGACGCCUAUUCGGAUCGACCCACGCAUCUUCGCUGUUCUUCAUCUGUUCCCUUGUGGCAAGGAGAUGGCUGAAUAAUGUAUCCUUCAUCACAGAUGGGAGCCCUCUCAAAGUCCAGGGAAGGUCACUGGGAAAGGACCGUAAAUAAAACUUGGACCAAAGUAUGACUAAACGACAGCAUCUGUGACAGUGGUCAGCCGUCUAUUCAUGGCUCUUAUUAGAUUAGACCUCAAAAUCAGAGCGUCAGCGUCAAAGAACAGGUUUUUCAAAUUGUACUUUAUACAUAAGCUCUAGCUUGUGUCAUAUCAUUGGUCUUUAAAUGAUUUCAGCUGCACUAUCUCCAUUGCUUGUUCUUCAUCAAAUGAAUAAAUAUUGAUGCAAA